ensembl:snRNA U6 U6 spliceosomal RNA
GUGCUUGCUUCGGCAGCACAUAUACCAAAAUUGGAAAGAUGCAGAGAUUAGCUGGCCCUUGUGCAAGGAUGACAGGAAAAUUUAUGAAGCAUUCCCUAUUAAG